rnacentral:rRNA from 1 species
GAGAGUUAAACAGUACGUGAAAUUGUUGAAAAGGAAACGAUUGAAGCCAGUCGUACCUUCGGGUAAUCAGCCUUUCGGGUGCGAUUCUGUGGAGUGUGAGGAGCUUAAACACCUUCAUGUUUUGCAUAUUCGUACUCUUGGGUGUACUUGCCCGUAUGGUUGGUUAACAUCAAUUUUGGUGGUCAUAAAAUGACUGGAGGAAUGUAGCUUCGAUCUUGUAUUGAAGUGUUAUAGCCUUCGGUAGAUGUGAUGAUCGAGAUUGAGGAUUGCAACGGAUACCCUUCGGGGCUACCUGUCUGGUCUCUGAUCGUUGCUCUGGUGCCGAAAGCUUGCUUACGGUUAUCAAAGUCGAUGGUCAAUAGGUUAGAACGGGUUAAAUUCGUUAAGGAUGUUGACGUAAUGGCUUUAAACGA